AUUUUAUUAGUAUACACAUAGUAUGGUUGUUUUCCAAACAAUUGGUUUAAAUUAUUUUAAAUAAAAUAU
rnacentral:tRNA from 1 species